UACAGAGACUGCAAGCGUUAUUCGGAUUCACUGGGCGUAAAGGGUGCGCAGGCGGUCGGGUGUGUCAGAUGUGAAAUCCCGGAGCUUAACUCCGGAACUGCGUCUGAAACUACACGACUAGAGCAUUGGAGAGGGAAGUGGAAUUCAUGGUGUAGCAGUGAAAUGCGUAGAUAUCAUGAGGAAGGCCAGUGGCGAAAGCGAAUCUCUGGACAGCUCUUGACGCUGAUGCACGAAGGCCAGGGGAGCAAACGGG
rnacentral:rRNA from 1 species